rnacentral:rRNA from 1 species
GAGGAAUAAGUGGUGGGCAAGACGGUUGCCAGCCGCCGCGGUAAUAACCGCGCCACGAGUUGUAGUCACGAUUAUUGGGUCUAAAGCAUCCGUAGCUGGUUCGACAAGUCUUCGGUGAAAUCCGGCAGCAAACUGUCGGGCGUGCCGAAGAUACUAUCAGACUAGAGACUGGGAGAGGUCGGGGGUACUUCGGAGGUAGGGGUAAAAUCCUUUAAUCUCCGAGGGACCACCUGUGGCGAAGGCGCCAGACUAGAACAGAUCUGGCAGUGAGGGAUGAAAGCUAGGGGAGCGAUCGGGAUUAGAUACCCCGGUAGUCCUAGCCGUAAACGAUGCCCGCUUGGUGUUACAAGAUCUUAGCGAUCUUGUUGUGCCGAAGCGAAGGCGAUAAGCGGGCCACCUGGGGAGUACGACCGCAAGGUUGAAACUUAAGGGAAUUGGCGGGGGAGCACUACCAGGGGUGGAGGCUGCGGUUCAAUUGGAUCAACGCCGG